rnacentral:lncRNA from 1 species
AUGUGUUGCUGCUCUAGAGGCCAAAGCAAAGGCAUCUACUUCACUGGACCGUCAGCCAGCCCACUAUACCGCUUCCACUACUAGUCUUCGCUAAAGGUGAUCCAUAGGAGUGACCAUGUCCAAUCAUCCAUCCAGUCUUGCACUACCGAUGCAAGGAGAAGAGUGGAGCAAUCGGUUCAAUCCGCUCCUGAUGUGAGGACGCCAGCGUGCCUCGCUUGAUUGAAUCCAUGAGAGGUGUGGGAUCGCUGCAGGUCGAUGCGUGUGAUGGGAGCCUGCGAUCGACCCCUCUACUUCGGUGAUCUCUACCCUUUCUUCCAUCUUCUCCGAGGGUAUCCAGCGCAAGGAACCCAGCGGACGUGUGGGAUGUGGGUACCCGAUCCUCGCAUGUAUGCGGCGUGUAGUCUCCCAACUUCGUGCCAGCGCCCGAACAAUGGAUCUUUUAUUCGAUCUUGUAGGCUGGUGGCCAAGGCAUGGCGAUUUGCCUAUUCAUCUCCCGAUCUCUGAUUGGUAUGUUACUACCUCAAUUUCCUUCAGAUUUUUCUUGGAGUUGGUCAACACGAUGCUAUCCAAUCCUGAUUCACUCCCUUCCAAACAGAAAGAACGAAAAGCAUUCAGUGAGCUGGUUUUUACUGUUGGGGAUGGUAGGGUGUGUGAAAAUAGAUGUAACAGUAGAUCCCUAUUUACAUGCUUAUCAAGGCGGGUGAUUAUAAAAUAUCAGCCAUUAUCCAUCUUUUCUAUGUAGAUAUAAAAAAAUUAUCACCAGGAAUAUUUACAAAACUGUGCUAUCACCUAUCAAGUUGAUGCCAUAUAUCUACUUGUACUAAAGAUGGUGCCAACUCGAUCUCGAUAAUAUUGAAGGUAUGAUUAUAUUUCAAGACUGGAUGUCAAGCUAAUAAACUUAGACGAACCAUGUCGAUAUUAAAUAUUUUAAUGCUAUUACAAUAACUAAUUUCUGACACCAUAGAUUGGUCCUUAAGGUUGGAUCUCUUGUUAUGCUGCUCUGGAACAUUAACCAAACCAUUGGCCUAUGUAAUGGAAAAGAUCGACCAUCACUCGAUUAGCAACUCAAAUAGUUGAGGCUACUAUCAUGACACACUUGAAUAAUGGAUCUCCGGUUUACAUACAUAGAAUUACUUUGAUGCCAAAAUACAAAAUAUCCAUUUUAUCUCACAAGACGGCAAUAUCAUAUACGUCUCUGCUACUCAAUGAAAAUUAACAGAAGUCAAAGAAAACAAUUUAAUCUGUUGGAAUUUAUUUGGAAAAACCAAGAAUCACCCAUGGACAGUUGUACUUGGAAAUUAUGCCAGUUAUAUUGAGAAAAUGUCAAAAAUAAGGAGUCAUGCAAUAUUAUAUUAAACGUCAUAUAUCGUGAGGUCAUUUAUGUUACACAACAACAAUAAGUCAACAUGAGUAUUGUAGAUUAUACAUGACCUUAUUUAUAUGUAUUUAGCAAAUAAAGGUUGUAUUUGGCUUAUACAAAUAAAGAUUACUUCCCACUUCUUAUACGUAGGUUUCACCCUUUCAUGUACAUAUCCCACUCGUAAGAUUCCCCAUGUUUGAUGUUCAUGCUCCCACUAACUGUACAUGUGUACAACUUUCACGCCAAUUAGCUUCUAUUAGAUCUGAACCCAUUCCUUAGGCAUGUCAUCGUGCUUGCAAGCUCUUCAUUGGAUUUCUACAAGGACAAGAAAUUUACUCAUCUUGACACGUGAACAUGCCUACUAAUACAUAUUAGCGUGUAUUCUAUGUUAAAUAAUGUAUUGUCCAUGUGUUUAAUAAUGAUAUUUCUAUAUAGGGAAAUAAGACGUAUGGGAAGAUACAUGUGAUGCAUGCAAAUACAUCCUUUCCUCAUCAAGGAUUUCUUUUUUAAAUCAGCAAAGAACAUUAAUAAGCCCAUGGAAGGAAGUUCCACAAAAGUAACUCCAUGGUUGAAGAUCUAGGUGGACCGUGAUGUCCUUGUCAGUUAUCCUCCCUAUGCAUAUUCAGUUAUUGAUUUUAUACAUGUACCCUCUAUUUUUGGAAAGACAGACUCCUUUAUAGGCAGGGAAAUUCUACGUUUUUGCUUUACUAUAUUUCUGGUCCACAUUGUUUAUUUACUAUAUUUAUGGUCCAUUUAUCAUGCUCCUAUUUCAAUGUACAUAUGUUGUUGAAAUAGUUCAGUAAUCUCAUGUGUCUUGAAGGUUUGACUCCCUGCUCGAGCCUAGGAUUAUGUCAAGAUGAACAUCCACAUAACAGAUAUUGAGUAGGCUUUCUCAUUGAAAUUAUGAGACUAUCUAUUAUCAUCGUUAACUUUUCACUAUCUAUUAUCCUCUGAAUUCUCAUUAUAGUCAUUGAAUCACCUAUAUUUAGGUCAAUUUUAUAAUCAAUUCUCACAUUACCAAGUCAUUAUUAUAAUUGUUGGCAACAAGUUAAUUACUACAACUAAAAGUAACUAUAUUUGUGACCUGUUAAAUUCUCCAAUGACAGGUGAACACUAGCAUUGACAACAAUGGCACCAACAGAACAUAGAAUAUGUUGAUCACUCGUGCAAUUGGUCACACACUUACUACAACAGUAUAGCCAUCUACCAAAUUAUAAAGUACUUUACAUAUUUCUUCAAUGCAUGACUCCAACAUAGUUGUCUCCAAAUCUAUGAGAAAAAACACCAUUGAUUGCCAGCCGACAAACACAGAAUGAUCCAAAGGCACCUAGCACAAAUGCAUCCAUCAUUUCUGUAUGUUUUACUUAUUAUGUCGUCUGCGUGCGACAACUAUCACUCAGCUGGGUGAUAGACUUUGUGUUUGCCAGUUCCAACUUACAUGUACUGUGUUUUUGAAGAAAAGUUAUACUUAUCUGAACUGAAUUAUAUGAUACUUGGAUCUCUACAAUCAACCUUAUUUAUACUCUAAAGUGAUGUUUGGCUUUGCGACAUUACGAUCCUGCAUCUCUAUUUCCAUUACUGUUGUAAUUCUUGAUUGUAUUUCUAGAAAUAUCCAACUAUUCUACUGUCUUCUUAUCCAUGUAUAUACAUGAGUUUCUUUUAAUUUAUUCACUUAUAUAUGUACAUAAAAUUGCUCUAUUAUCAGCCAUUUUCUUCUUUGUAAGGGUGGGCAGUUGCUACCUCUUUAUUAUGAAGGUCUCUUGUAUUAUACUUUCACUUUCUCAUCCUACAUUUUCCCCUUCUCCAUUUUCAUGGUUGAGAUGCUACAAUAAUAAUCCAACCGAUAGUAUUAAUGGGAAUGCUUUCUUGAAUUCGUCACAAGGUCAUGUGGAUAGUUUUUUAGGUGCAUAUUGUACAUAUAUUAUCGCAUUUAAGUUGAUUAUCUCCUGAUCAGUAUCAUUUUUUUCAUAAAUAACACCAUGUUGAAAUGACUUUAGUAGUUAGUUGUGAGAAAAAUCCUGAAUAUGGAGCUCACUUGGUGUUUGGUAUCAUUCUUUUCUUCCGCGAUGAUGAAUGUUGAAAUUCAAUUCACUAUGCAACCGACUUUUAGUACUUUCACUAGACAUGCGCGUGAUUGCUCGCGCACACACACAACAAACUUAUUUCGAUCAUACAAAAAAUUGUAAAGCUAUAUCAUAAAACAUUCCAAAUAGAAGGGCACGACAAUGUGCGCCAUCAAGGAUAUAGUACUACAAAACACCUAGGUCCUUUCAUGGUACUCUAGUCUUUAAAGCAACAUGAAUACACUACUGAUCUUCGGAUUAAAUUUAGAUUAGAUACAUUACAAUAUCAAUACAGAUAGAUAAUAUGGACUAGGCACAUUAGACAUAUACAAAUAAAAUUAGUUAUUUACCAAUUGUAGUACUUUACAUGUGAUAUAAGCAUGAUGCUCGCGCACUAACGACGAGGCACUCACAUUUGGGACGACCAAUUUGCUAGUUGUUCCCGAAUGGAAGUUGUUGUUGUGAUUGUAAACAUGUCAAACCCUCAUUUAUUUUUACUCUUUGCCAUUUAGAACCCGUGUGUGACUUUGAAUUCUGCUCAUCAUGUUAGCUAGGUUGUUCUACACAUCUAUGUUGUAGUAGGUGUAAUGAGAAGACGACAACAACCUAAUGAAUAUGACAAAAGAUAGAAAUUGCAUGUCAGCAGGGAGGGGAGGUACCCCACAUGGAUAUAUUACAAAUUUUGAGUUUGUUACCAAGACACACAAGGGUUCACAUGAAAACUGAAGAAAUGUACAUAUUUUUAGCAUGCACUCAAAUCACACCAACCUCCACAUUCAAAUCAAUUAAAGAUGCAUAAGAGAACCUAUAAAUAAAUUGCAUCAACCCAGCAAAAUAAAAUUCAAUACCACCAAACACCUCAAACAACCAAUAAUAUUGCUCGAUCGGAGAUCCUUCAUUUCAUUGGACUACUCACUCGGGGGAGUACCAAGUUGUUUUGUUUUGGACCUUUUUCCUCCGUCACAGCCCCUACUUAUAUGUGACAUCUACUCACUCCUGCUUCUUCCUCAAAUUUCUUUCUCUUCUUCCAACUGCCACCACCAAGUGAUGGCAAUAAUUGGGGUGAUUGAGGUGGGACCUGAUGAGAUAGGUGUUGGAAUUAUGCCCUAGAGGCAAUAAUAAAUAUAGUUAUUAUUAUAAUUCCUGUAUCAAGAUAAUCGUUUAUUAUCCAUGCUAUAAUUGUAUUGAAUGAAGACUCAUUUUCAUGUGUGGAUACAUAGACAAAACGCUGUCCCUAGCAAGCCUCUAGUUGGCUGGCCAGUUGAUCAACGAUAGUCAGUGUCUUCUGAUUACGAACAAGGUGUUGUUGCUUGAUAACUGGAUCACGUCAUUAGGAGAAUCACGUGAUGGACUAGACCCAAACUAAUAGAUGUAGCAUGUUGAUCGUGUCAUUUUAUUGCUACUGUUUUCUGCGUGUCAAGUAUUUAUUCCUAUGACCAUGAGAUCAUAUAACUUACUAACACCGGAGGAAUACUUUGUGUGUAUCAAACGUCGCAACGUAACUGGGUGACUAUAAAGAUGCUCUACAGGUAUCUCCNUGUAGAUUAUACAUGACCUUAUUUAUAUGUAUUUAGCAAAUAAAGGUUGUAUUUGGCUUAUACAAAUAAAGAUUACUUCCCACUUCUUAUACGUAGGUUUCACCCUUUCAUGUACAUAUCCCACUCGUAAGAUUCCCCAUGUUUGAUGUUCAUGCUCCCACUAACUGUACAUGUGUACAACUUUCACGCCAAUUAGCUUCUAUUAGAUCUGAACCCAUUCCUUAGGCAUGUCAUCGUGCUUGCAAGCUCUUCAUUGGAUUUCUACAAGGACAAGAAAUUUACUCAUCUUGACACGUGAACAUGCCUACUAAUACAUAUUAGCGUGUAUUCUAUGUUAAAUAAUGUAUUGUCCAUGUGUUUAAUAAUGAUAUUUCUAUAUAGGGAAAUAAGACGUAUGGGAAGAUACAUGUGAUGCAUGCAAAUACAUCCUUUCCUCAUCAAGGAUUUCUUUUUUAAAUCAGCAAAGAACAUUAAUAAGCCCAUGGAAGGAAGUUCCACAAAAGUAACUCCAUGGUUGAAGAUCUAGGUGGACCGUGAUGUCCUUGUCAGUUAUCCUCCCUAUGCAUAUUCAGUUAUUGAUUUUAUACAUGUACCCUCUAUUUUUGGAAAGACAGACUCCUUUAUAGGCAGGGAAAUUCUACGUUUUUGCUUUACUAUAUUUCUGGUCCACAUUGUUUAUUUACUAUAUUUAUGGUCCAUUUAUCAUGCUCCUAUUUCAAUGUACAUAUGUUGUUGAAAUAGUUCAGUAAUCUCAUGUGUCUUGAAGGUUUGACUCCC